rnacentral:rRNA from 1 species
UAAUACGUAGGGGGCUAGCGUUGUCCGGAAUCAUUGGGCGUAAAGAGCGCGUAGGCGGCCCGGUAAGUCCGCUGUGAAAGUCAAAGGCUCAACCUUUGAAUGUCAGCGGAUACUGCCGGGCUAGAGUCCGGAAGAGGCGAGUGGAACUCCUGGUGUAGCGGUGGAAUGCGCAGAUAUCAGGAAGAACACCAACGGCGAAGGCAGCUCGCUAGGACGGUACUGACGCUGAGGCGCGAAAGCGUGGGGAGCGAACAGGAUUAGAUACCCUGGUAGUCCACGCCGUAAACGAUGGGCACUAGGUGUGGGAGGUGUCGACUCCUCCCGUGCCGGCGCUAACGCAUUAAGUGCCCCGCCUGGGGAGUACGGCCGCAAGGCUA